CUACUUAAUAUAUUAUUAAGUAAAAUAGUGUUUUGGUCUUGUACAGUGUCUAAACGUUCUACUUUGCGAAGAAGAUGCCACGGGUGAAGGAGGAGUUGGAGCUCUCUUCGAUCAUUUUUUGGAGUAUGUUAUUCACAUCAUCGUAAUCAGCUAGAUAAGACUAAAGUUGAAUAUAUAAUUUAGUAAUAACCAAAUUAUGAAAUAUACCUUUUAUAUCAGUAACGUUAAUCACUGUAUACUUGGACCAUGAACGUUGUGGUUUUUUGCAUGUUGAUAUUAUUUUCUAAAACUCAUGUGGGGUGGCAGCUCUUGGCUAAUAGCACUUUUUCUGCUCUUCUAGGAGUCAAUUUAAUGGCACCACCGCACAUUUUAUAUCAUCCUCAAAUUGAACCACUGCAUACAUGAUAUGAACACGUACCUUUUUCUUAUAAGAAGGAAUGAUUAAAGGGACUACACCUAUGCAAAUGAAAAACAUAGGAAAGAAGAGGCAACUGUAUCUAAGUUUUAAUGUUUUUAUCGAAAUUUAAAAUGUAAACUUGGUGAAAAUUAUCGCAUCUCGCUUAGGUAACAAUACCUAUCUGUAAUAACUACAACAAAUAUUAGUUUUCUUUUGAUGAUUAAUUGGACUAACACAACAACAAUUUAAGAGGCAUGACCUUUUCUUCUGUCCAGCUCAUGUAUAAAAUUCUUGCUACGGCUUUCCACUCCUCUACUCCAAAGUCACGCGUAAGGUAAGGUAUUUUUGAUUGUAUACCUGUUGUACACAUUUAAUAAAAGUCCUCGCAGAAUUCAGACAAGAUCACGCAACAUGCCACCAGUAUCUUCGGCAAAUUAAGUUUCCUCAUUUGGAAGGAUGACGGUUAUUUUUGGUCUUCUUCCAUAUUUGCCUAGUUUUCAAUGAGCUUUCAUUAAUUCUUUAAAAACAUGCUGUCCAUGAAGAGUGAUGUUUAUGUUGGAAAUGAAUCUGUAAGCAAGUCAUCGUUAUUUUGUAAAGUGAUUGUUGGUCUUUCUAAAAAAAGAAUGAAUUGUAAAGCAUUUUGAAGAUUAUACUGACAACAUACCAUUGUAAAACAAAGUAUCGUCUUCUAAAUGCAGCAUAUUCGGUUCUUGUGACGUAGGUGAUAAUGAAAAUAUUGUUUCAGUUGACGCUGUAGUAAAUACGUAUUUCAGGUAUAUUUAUCAACUUGCGUUGGAGACGUCUAUGUCUCCACCAGAAAAAUGAUGUUAUGGUAGCCUUAACCCUAGGAGGACCAAGCUUUUUUUGGGUAUUCUGUUGGACCAGUAAUUUCUGGGGAUAGUUCCUCACCACUCAACAUUUUUCUUCUUUGUAGUAUAAAUACUUCAAAAAUUGUCGUUGUAUGUUCUCAAAUGAUAGAAUUUGGAUGUUGUAAUACGGAAACCACGCCAGGGUGCAAGAUUCCAAUUUUGAUCGAACCCAAGCAAAAAAUAUUACUUUCAAUGUUGCCGGAUUAGUAAAAUCCUUACAAUUGCGUACAAUAAAUCUCAACAUUUUUUUGAACUUGAUAGCUCCAGUUCAUUAAUUAGCUUUUUAAUCUGUCUCCUGUGAAUCCGUAAAUUCUGCGAUGAUCUUGUUUUUGAUCGUUUCGUACUUGUGUUCCGCAGGAGGAUUGACCAGGAUGUCCGAAACGGUCUGUAGUAUGAUGCCGUCCAAGGCGCUAACAACCAUGUAGUACUUUCACUACUAGUCAGAACCUAGUAGGCUAAUACGUGAAACCAAACGUCAGUAUUGACAUUUUGCCAACUUCAAUGUCAUGGCUCAAAAUUUUCGCGAUGUUUCUUGACUUUCGGCAGUUAACCAAAAUUUUGUGUAACGCUGUACAGGUUCACAUCUAUUCUUCGCCAAAUUUUUUAAUGGAAUCCUUCAUAAACGUGUUAAUGUUCGUUUUUCACUGCUUGUUAAUAAUUGAAGUCAACUCUUUAAUAAGAAAAAUGAGCGUUCGUCCAAUUAAAAUAGCAAUAGAUCAGUCUUCAGUAGAUGUUAAGCGUAGGGAGUCGGAAUUUCAAGGUGUAGUGCGGAAACAUCCUGAGCUAGGAGUGGACGUUGUUUUUACAGAAAGCAGUUUACUGAGAGAUGAUUGGGACACGACUGCUAAAAUCAACAAAAUAUUGUCAACAAGUUUAAGUGAAUAUAUCAGAAAAGAUUUACAGAAACUUCAGCCGAAGUUACUUACUGAUUCGAACCACAGUCAGCAAACGCAAGAAAACAAUUUUACGUCAAGUGUAGAAAAAUUGUAUGAGUUUUCGAUUAAAGAGCCUCAUUUCAAAAAUAAAAGUGUUCUGGAGGAUUCACCGAAGGUUGAAGCAAAGAAAAUAAUGUUCUUACAGUAAACUAAAAUGAAGGAAAGAAAAAGCAAUGUUCAUUUAAAAUGCAGUACGUAUCUAAAGAGAUUUGUAAAUGAAUUUUAUAAAUAAAAUUGUUUUGUGGC